rnacentral:lncRNA from 1 species
AUCCCAUACAAUAAGCCACCUCCAGGGGAUGGAUCAAAAGCAGCUCCAAGAUGGGCAUUUCGUGCAAAGCUGGAGGAAGGCAGCCCCAGGCUCAGCUGGGGGCUGGGGAGCACAGUGGAGUCAGGCAGAAAGGAUUAUACAUUCCCUUUGAAGUUCUGAUUAAUAAUAGCAAUAAUGAAGUAAGAGGUGCUGAAUCCCUGAGCGUGGGGAAGGCCCCCAGAGAGGAGAGCAAGGUCACAGCCGUGGACUUAGAAAUCAACCACAGCGAUAUGAAUGAAUGAAUUAAUGGUAUUUGCAGCAACCUAGAUGAGAUUGCAGACUAUUAUUCUAAGGGAAGUAACUCAGGAACGGAAAAACCAAGCAUCGUAUGUUCUUAAUCAUAAGUGGGAGUUAAGCUACGAGGAUGCAAAGGCAUAAGAAUGACACAACGGAUUUUGGGGACUCAGGGGAAAGGAUGGGAAGGGGAUGAGGGAUAAAAGACUACAAACUGUGGGCUGGCCCAGGUGGCUUACACCUAUAAUCCCAGCACUUUGGGAGGCCGAGGCAGGCGGAUCACCUGAGGAGUUCGAGACAGCCUGGCCAACAUGGUGAAACUCCAUCUCUACUAAAAAUACAAAAAUUAGCUGGACGUGGUGGCGUGCACCUGUAAUCUCAGCUACUUGGGAGACUGAGGCAGAAGAAUCACUUGAACUUGGGAAGCGGAGCUUGCAGUGAGCUGAGAUCAUGCCACUGCACUCCAGCCUGGGAGACAGAACAGGACUCCAUCUUAAAACAAAACAAAACAAAAACAAAAAAUCCUACAAACUGGGUGCAGUGUAUACUGCUCAGGUGAUGGGUGCACCAAAAUCUCACAAAUCACCACCAAAGAACUUAUUCACAUAACCAAACACCACCUGUUCCCCAGUAACCUAUGGAAAUUUUUUUUUAAUUUUACAUAUGAACACUUAAAAAAAAAAAAAAGAGAAAGAGAGAGAGAUCAAUCACUGCAAUCUAGAAUUUACAUUCCACUGAUACCUUCCAAGCACACCCCAUUGGACAAUUUUUAAAUGCAUUAACAAUCGCUAUCUAUUUAAUCCUUACACAUACCCUGUCGGGUCGACCUUGACACUUGGUUGGCCCCUUAUCACCCUUCUUGUGCUUGUUUCGUGUUUCUCUUCCCCAUCAGACUGUAAGUUCCCUGAAAGCAGGGACCUGGUACCCCCUAUU